rnacentral:antisense_RNA from 1 species
CACCCAUCGCGGCACGCGCCGGGGGGCGCAGACUGGAAUUGGAACAGGGGCCAGUCAUGCGCGCGACGGGGAAGCCAGGGGUCGAUGGUCGGGGGACCAUCGGCCCCAUUUUU